rnacentral:tRNA from 1 species
GGAAGUAUCACCUAAUGGUAUGGUAGCAGCUUGGAAAGCUGUGGACUUAACGGUCUUUAGGGUUCGAGUCCCUAUACUUCCGCCA